rnacentral:rRNA from 1 species
UACGUAGGGGGCAAGCGUUGUCCGGAUUUAUUGGGCGUAAAGAGCGUGUAGGCGGCCUGAAAGGUCAGCUGUGAAACUCGAGGCUCAACCUCGAGACGUCGGUUGAAACCAUCUGGCUAGAGUCCGGAAGAGGAGUGUGGAAUUCCCGGUGUAGCGGUGAAAUGCGCAGAUAUCGGGAAGAACACCCGUGGCGAAGGCGG